AGUGAACGCUGGCGGCGUGCCUAAUACAUGCAAGUCGAACGGAGUGGCGCACGGGUGAGUAAUUUAUAGCUAAUCUGCCCUACACUAGAGGACAACAGUUGGAAACGACUGCUACUACUCUCUAUUGUAGGUUGAGGCUAUAUUGUAUCAGCUAGUUGGUGAGGUAAUGGCUCACCAAGGCUAUGACGCAUAACUGGUGUGUGAGGAUGAGCAGUCAAACUGGAAGUGAGGCACGAGUGAGAAUUAUACGGGAGGGAGCAGAAGGGAAAAUUGCUCAAGGGGGGAAACCGUGAAGCGGCAACGGGGCGUAGAGGAUGAGACUUUUGGGGGCGUGAACUCCGUUUGUUAGGGAAGCGGUACCUAAAGAAGAAGCACCGGCUAACUCCGUGCCAGCAGCCGCGGUAAUAC
rnacentral:rRNA from 1 species